UCCCUGGUGGUCCAGUGGUUAGGACUCUGUGCUUCUACUGCUGAGAUCCCGAGUUCAAUCCUUGGUCAGGGAA